AUUCACUUUCCGCUUGUGUUGUAGUAUUAUUAAUUCUUCUAGUUACUGAGUACUUCUAGACUCAUAAUUUUAUUGUGCAGCUACUCCACGUAGUGUUUUCCAACAUGGCAUCUAUUUUGG
ensembl:ncRNA M60.15 ncRNA